GGAUGCCAUGAUACCAGCACUAAAGCACCGGAUCCCAUCAAAACUCCGAAGUUAAGCGUGCUUGGGCGAGAGUAGUACUAGGAUGGGUGACCUCCUGGGAAGUCCUCGUGUUGCAUUCC
rnacentral:rRNA from 1 species